CAGCACCUCAAGUGGUCAGGAUGAUUAUUGGGCCUAAAGCAUCCGUAGCCGGCGCUGUAAGUUUUCGGUUAAAUCUGUAUGCUCAACAUACAGGCUGCCGGGAAUACUGCAGAGCUAGGGAGUGGGAGAGGUAGACGGUACUCGGUAGGAAGGGGUAAAAUCCUUUGAUCUAUUGAUGACCACCUGUGGCGAAGGUGGUCUACCAGAACACGUCCGACGGUGAGGGAUGAAAGCUGGGGUAGCAAACCGGAUUAGAUACCCGAGUAGUCC
rnacentral:rRNA from 1 species